rnacentral:rRNA from 1 species
UACAGAGGGGGGCGAGCGUUAUUCGGAAUUAUUGGGCGUAAAGGGCGCGUAGGCGGCCUUUCAAGUGACGGGUGAAAAUCCCUCGGCUUAACCGAGGAACUGCCUGUCAGACUGGAAGGCUUGAGACCGGGAGAGGUGAGUGGAAUUCCCAGUGUAGCGGUGAAAUGCGUAGAUAUUGGGAGGAACACCAGUGGCGAAGGCGGCUCACUGGACCGGUACUGACGCUGAGGCACGAAGGCCAGGGGAGCAAACGGG